UUUUUUAAUAUUUAAUAUUUUACCAUUUACAUUUGAUUGACGAACAGUUUUACUCGUAAGUGUGCUCUGACAUUUUUGUAAUGCGGAAAAGAAAACGAAGUUCAUUCCAUUCCCAAGCAGUGAUUAAUUGAUUGAUUGAUAUGAUAUGAUUUGAUUGAUUGAUUGACAUUAGACACGUACCGGGCAGAAGCACUGCCCUUACACUUACACUUUCGCUUCUGGCCCUCACGGAGCAACUAGGAAAAGCCAUCGCCAAUCUUUUGGCGACUGGCCUUUCCGCCCUGUUUGGCCUGUUGGCUUUCGGUAAACACACCGACUGGCAGCUAACUGCCUGUUGUAUUCCACUCUUCAACAAACCAUUCCCGAAAUCAGAGAAUUGAAACACACACAAAAACAAGAAUUCCGGCGAUGGAAGAAAACACGAGUCCAAGGAUAUCUAGCAAUUGCAGCAAUAUCUGGCACACACUUACCUCUGUAUGUUUAAACAUUGCCACAAGUUAACAAUUUAAUAUAAUUGUUGAAGACACGUAAGACCCAUAGGGGUCAGCACAGCCAAUCCUACCAGAUCCUUGGCAUACAAGACCAAGGAUAUCUCAGCAAUUGCAGCGAAUAUUUAUUACACAACUCGUUAUGUUUAAUCAUUUACACAACUUAACAAUUUAUUUAAUUCUUAAAAGACAAGACCCCAAGAGCACUGGGUCAAUGCUCUUUUCGGCGGUUGAAAGCAUUGACGAGCACAGCUCACACAAGUGCACAAUUGUUCAAUAUGUUCAAUAACAAUUAAUGCUUAAGUUACGUACUUACUUAUCAUGUUAAAUUACGCAAUUAAAUGCAAUUUAAAAUCGA